GGACUACCGGGGUUUCUAAUCCUGUUUGAUCCCCACGCUUUCGUGCCUCAGCGUCAAUAUUUGUUUAGCAAGCUGCCUUCGCAAUUGGUGUUCUAAGUCAUAUCUAUGCAUUUCACCGCUACAUGACUUAUUCCGCCUACCUCAACAAAAUUCAAGACUAAUAGUAUCAAUGGCAGUUUCCAGGUUGAGCCCGGAGAUUUCACCACUGACUUAAAAGCCCGCCUACACACCCUUUAAACCCAGUAAAUCCGGAUAACGCUUGCACCCUCCGUAUUACCGCGGCUGCUGGCAC
rnacentral:rRNA from 1 species